rnacentral:rRNA from 1 species
GGAGCGGGCCGCCGCGUCCGCCUCGUGCGUGACGCGGUGACCGCCCCAUCCUCGCGGGGAAGCGGCGGCAUUCACUUGCCGUCGUGGACUCGCGUCCUUUACUGUGAAAAAAUUAGAGUGUUUAAAGCAGGCUCGCCGCUUGAAUACAUUAGCAUGGAAUAAUGAGAUAGGACUUCGGUGCUAUUUUGUUGGUUGCGUACCGAGGUA